UCCAAAAAAAAUAUACUAGCAGGCUGUCUAGAACUGGUUAGUAGGGAUCCAGAAAUACCUAUGGAAACUGUUAUAAAAAAGGGGCUACAGACCCAAAGAUUCAAAUAGGAUUCGAGGAUUGGAGGAAUUCCUGGAACCAGGUUUACUGAAAUGUACAUUGCCUUAACUUAGUAUAGUGCCACUACAAGCUCUUAAGUAGGUGGUAUUUAGUUUCAAGCAGAUUGUCUAAGAUUUAUCCAGAUCAGGUACAUAGUUGUUGCAGAUGUGGAGACCGUAAAGGAGAAUAUGGUGGGAAUGUCCGCCUAUCCAGCUGUUUUGGAGUUUGAUCGAGAGCAAAAUUCAGGCAUUAAUAAAUAAGUAUUUCAAAUUGGGUCCCGAUCUAUUUUUACUACAGCUUAACGCUAGACUAGCUUUUGGAAAUCAUACCCCCCGGUUACUCAUAUACUGCUAGCUGCAAAAAUCACAAUAGCUAGACAUUGUAAGUCACAUAUUGCUCCAAC